rnacentral:rRNA from 1 species
CCUACGGGGGGCAGCAGUGAGGAAUAUUGGUCAAUGGACGGAAGUCUGAACCAGCCAUGCCGCGUGCAGGAAGACGGCUCUAUGAGUUGUAAACUGCUUUUGUAGAGGGGUAAACUUGAAUACGUGUAUUCAGCUGAAAGUACUAUACGAAUAAGGAUCGGCUAACUCCGUGCCAGCAGCCGCGGUAAUACGGAGGAUCCAAGCGUUAUCCGGAUUUAUUGGGGUUAAAGGGGGCGUAGGUGGAUUGAUAAGUCAGAGGUGAAAUGUCCGGGCGCAACUCGGGAACUGCCGCUAAAACUGUGGGUCUAGAGAGUAGGUGCGGUAGGCGGAAUGUAUGGUGUAGCGGUGAAAUGCUUAGAGAUCA